CACGUAUUUAGUCGGGGCUUCUUGGUCAGGUACCGUCAAUGUCUUCCCUGCUGACAGAGCUUUACAUACCGAAGUACUCCAUCGCUCACGCGGCGUCGCUGCAUCAGGGUUGCCCCCAUUGUGCAAUAUCCCCCACUGCUGCCUCCCGUAGGAGUCUGGGCCGUGUCUCAGUCCCAAUGUGGCCGCCCACCCUCUCAGGCCGGCUACUGAUCGUCGCCUUGGUGGGCCGUUACCCCGCCAACAAGCUAAUCAGACGCGGACCCAUCCCGCACCGCCUGGGCUUUCCGCACAGCCCCAUGCGGGGCCGUGCGCAUAUGCGGUAUUAGCAGCCGUUUCCGGCUGUUGUCCCCCAGUGGCGGGUAGGUUGUCCACGCGUUACUCACCCGUCCGCCACUCAGUCACAGGGCGUUCGUCUCCGAAAAAGUCCGCCCCAGUCGCUUCGUUCGACUUGCAUGUGUUAGCACGCCGCCAGCGUUCG
rnacentral:rRNA from 1 species